UACGUAGGGUGCAAGCGUUAAUCGGAAUUACUGGGCGUAAAGCGUGCGCAGGCGGUUUUGUAAGUCUGUCGUGAAAGCCCCGGGCUCAACCUGGGAAUUGCGAUGGAGACUGCAAGGGUUGAAUCUGGCAGAGGGGGGUAGAAUUCCACGUGUAGCAGUGAAAUGCGUAGAGAUGUGGAGGAACACCGAUGGCGAAGGCAGCCCCCUGGGUCAAGAUUGACGCUCAUGCACGAAAGCGUGGGGAGCAAACAGG
rnacentral:rRNA from 1 species